GUCCACGCCGUAAACGUUGGGCACUAGGUGUGGGGUCUAUCGACGACCUCUGUGCCGAAGCUAACGCAUUAAGUGCCCCGCCUGGGGAGUACGGCCGCAAGGCUAAACUCAAAGGAAUUGACGGGGCCCGCACAAGCGGCGGAGCAUGUGGCUUAAUUCGAUGCAACGCGAAGAACCUUACCUGGGCUUGACAUGUAUGGAAAAGCCGUGGAAACACGGUGUGCUUCGGCGUCAUACACAGGUGGUGCAUGGCUGUCGU
rnacentral:rRNA from 1 species